ensembl:lncRNA
AUGCAGAUAAAACACAUAUUAACAAUUAAGGUCAUUCUUGAUGUUUUUCUCAACUAUUUCUUUUUUAUUCCAGGGCCAGCAGGUGUAUGUUCACUCUCUGUGUCUCACGUCAAUGGGACGUCCGCCACAGUGUCAUGGAAACCAGCCACUGGUCAUUUUGAUUUUUAUAAAGUGGCGGUCAGUAACAUCUCUCAUAUCUGGACAUUAGAUGUGAGUCCACACUCGCAGGAGGUCACCGUCAGCAGCCUGUGGAAUGGCUGCUCCUACAACAUCACUGUUCAACGCUUCAGAAACAACAUCAGUGGAACUGCUGCCACAAUCACCAUACGUACAGUCCCUGUCAGUCCUGAGGGGUUGCGAGUGAUAAGCGUGUCACCUCGUGCUUUCUCACUCCACUGGUUGGCAUCACCUGGAUGUGAUAAGGACUACAUGGUCCAACUGCAUCCUGACCACGGCAAUAUCAACAUCACCACCACAGCAGACAGUGGAGUGCAGGUACACACUCACACACACUCACACACACACGCCCUGAGUCACUGCUCUCCCGCAGCCGUAUGCCAGGUGUCAGGUAGAAGAGUAUCUGUGUCAGCUGGGCGGAGUGUGUGGAGGAAGGUUGGAGAACAAGGGAGAGAGUGUGUGUGAGAGAGAAGACCAUUAAUAAUAGGUUUAACAGUGGUGGAGGAACUAGUUUGUUCCUGAUCACUCACAUACCACCUGUUAGUUAUCCUGUUCACCCAUCCAGCAGCUCUCUCUUAGUGAGGGGCCAUCAUGCCAUCCUGUCUGCCCCUGCUGGUUAUCCUGUAUGCAGGCCUCUGUAACAUUCAGGUAGGCUUUAAUUGCAUAUUUGCAUUGAAUUGGUUUUGCAUUACAUGACAUGCAUUACACAGACUUGUCAAAUGUGGACCAAAUUAAAUAGUCAAGUUGUG